rnacentral:rRNA from 1 species
GACGAACGCUGGCGGCGUGCUUAACACAUGCAAGUCGAACGAUGAAGCCUAGCUUGCUAGGUGGAUUAGUGGCGAACGGGUGAGUAAUACGUGAGUAACCUACCUUUAACUCUGGGAUAAGCCUGGGAAACUGGGUCUAAUACCGGAUACGACCAAUCUCCGCAUGGGGUGUUGGUGGAAAGCGUUAUGUAGUGGUUAUAGAUGGGCUCACGGCCUAUCAGCUUGUUGGUGAGGUAACGGCUCACCAAGGCGACGACGGGUAGCCGGCCUGAGAGGGUGACCGGCCACACUGGGACUGAGACACGGCCCAGACUCCUACGGGAGGCAGCAGUGGGGAAUAUUGCACAAUAGGCGCAAGCCUGAUGCAGCGACGCCGCGUGAGGGAUGACGGCCUUCGGGUUGUAAACCUCUGUUAGCAGGGAAGAAGAGAAAUUGACGGUACCUGCAGAGAAAGCGCCGGCUAACUACGUG